rnacentral:lncRNA from 1 species
GGGCGGGAGGCUGCGGCGAGGAAGAGGAAAUCUCGGCAGGAACAAGGAGAGGGAAAGGGCCAGGGCUGGGGACGGCGACACAACCGGGACCUGCCGGGAGCCCCCGCCGUGGCACUGGGACCGGGGACCGGGACCGGGGACCAGGACCGGGCACCGGGAGCAGCCCCGGAACGGGCACCGGUUGGCGCGGGGCUCGGCGGGCAGGAGGCGGCCGGGAUGGAGAAGCUCCCACCAGGCGAGGAGGAGGAGGAGGAUGAAGAGGAUGAGGAGGAUGAGGAGGACAUGGCGGGGGACGCCGAGGCCAUCCUGCGCUACGAGGAGCGCAUCGCGGGGCUGGUGGCCACGGUAGCCCGGCUGCACCACCGAGCCCAGCAGCUGCAGCGCCGCACCGGCAGGUACCGGCACAUGGUGGCCACGGGGCUACCACCGCCCGGGCACCCCCAUCUCCGGCCUUCGCCGCCCCACAGGGAGGAUGAGGAAGGUUGGGAGGGCACCACCAGCCUCCCUGAUGCCAACCCGCAGCCCCGGCACCUCGACACCAGUAUGGAAGCCCACGGCCCCGACCUCUUUGCUGACCUGCAGCACGCCGUCAGCUCCCUGGAACGCACCGUCUUCUCCCGGCACCGGCGGGCACCGGCACAACCCCUGCCCGGUGAGGAGUGGGCACGGGCGGCCAAGGUGAGCCACGCCGCCAACCGCCAGCCCAGACGCCGAGGGGAUGGGCAGGUUGCCCAGAUGCCCCAUUGGGGUUGCCCAUCCCCUGUAUCCCUAGAGCCUGGAGGAGCUGGACCGGGCACCACCGGGCUGGAGCGGGAGGGGGAUGCCCGGGGGUCCCGGGGAGGGAGCGGGCGAGGGGCUGCCGGCGGAGGAGGCGGCGAUGGCGGCGGCGGUGGCGAGGAACGCGGCACUGAGGGCGGCCUUGGGACGGCGGGACGAGGAGCUGAGCCGGGCUACGGCCUCCCUGGGGGGGCUACGGGGGGAGCGGGACCGGCUGGAGCAGAAGGUGGGUGAUGGGGACACGGGGAGGGGAGGGGGACAUUGCCCAGGUCACCCCCCCC